rnacentral:rRNA from 1 species
UCGGAUUGUAGGCUGAAACUCGCCUACAUGAAGCUGGAAUUGCUAGUAAUCACAGGUCAGCAUACUGUGGUGAAUACGUUCCCGGGCCUUGUACACACCGCCCGUCACACCAUGAGAGUUGAGAAUACCCGAAGCCCAUGUCAAAGUGGUCGAAGGUAGGCUUGAUGAUUGGGUGAAGUCGUAACAAGGUAUC